rnacentral:rRNA from 1 species
AUACGGAGGGUGCAAGCGUUGUUCGGAAUCACUGGGCGUAAAGGGCGCGCAUGCGGUUUGGUAAGUCAGAUGUGAAAGCCCACGGCUCAACCGUGGAAGUGCAUUUGAAACUGUCAGACUUGAGUACUAGAGGGGAAAGUGGAAUUCCCGGUGUAGAGGUGAAAUUCGUAGAUAUCGGGAGGAAUACCGGUGGCGAAGGCGACUUUCUGGCUAGAUACUGACGCUGAGGCGCGAAAGCGUGGGGAGCAAACAGGAUUAGAAACCCUAGUAGUCC